rnacentral:rRNA from 1 species
AGUGAACGCUGGCGGCAGGCCUAACACAUGCAAGUCGAACGGCAGCACAAGAGAGCUUGCUCUCUGGGUGGCGAGUGGCGGACGGGUGAGGAAUGCAUCGGAAUCUGCCCAUUUGUGGGGGAUAACCUCGGGAAACCGGGACUAAUACCGCAUACGACCUACGGGUGAAAGCAGGGGAUCUUCGGACCUUGCGCAGAUGGAUGAGCCGGUGCCGGAUUAGCUAGUUGGAGGGGUAAAGGCCCACCAAGGCGACGAUCCGUAGCUGGUCUGAGAGGAUGAUCAGCCACACUGGGACUGAGACACGGCCCAGACUCCUACGGGAGGCAGCAGUGGGGAAUAUUGGACAAUGGGCGCAAGCCUGAUCCAGCCAUGCCGCGUGUGUGAAGAAGGCCUUCGGGUUGUAAAGCACUUUUGUUGGGAAAGAAAAGCAGCCGGUUAAUACCCGGUUGUCAUGACGGUACCCAAAGAAUAAGCACCGGCUAACUUCGUG